rnacentral:rRNA from 1 species
AACGAACGCUGGCGGCAUGCCUAACACAUGCAAGUCGAACGAGGGCUUCGGCCUUAGUGGCGCACGGGUGAGUAACACGUGGGAACCUGCCUUUCGGUUCGGGAUAACGUCUGGAAACGGACGCUAACACCGGAUACGCCCUUCGGGGGAAAGUUUACGCCGAGAGAGGGGCCCGCGCCCGAUUAGGUAGUUGGUGGGGUAACGGCCUACCAAGCCGACGAUCGGUAGCUGGUCUGAGAGGAUGAUCAGCCACACUGGGACUGAGACACGGCCCAGACUCCUACGGGAGGCAGCAGUGGGGAAUAUUGGACAAUGGGGGCAACCCUGAUCCAGCAAUGCCGCGUGAGUGAUGAAGGCCUUCGGGUUGUAAAGCUCUUUCGCACGCGACGAUGAUGACGGUAGCGUGAGAAGAAGCCCCGGCUAACUUCGUGCCAGCAGCCGCAGUAA